rnacentral:rRNA from 1 species
GCAAGUUGAGCGAAGCUUUUUGGUAGUUUACUACUAGAAAUGACUGAGCGGCGAACGGGUGAGUAACGCGUGAGCAAUCUACCUUAGUUACUGGGAUAGCCCGAGGAAACUCGGAUUAAUACCGGAUAUUCUUAUUUUUUCACAUGAAGUUUUAAGGAAAGGUCAGCCGAACUAAGAUGAGCUCGCGUUCUAUCAGCUAGUUGGUGGAGUAAAAGCCCACCAAGGCGACGAUCAGUAGCUGGUCUGAGAGGACGAUC